UGAUACUCAAAAAGAAAUUGUCCUUGUAUGAUUCAUCAUAAAUAAAGCGAACACACCAAGGAUAAUUUCUCCUCAAGUAUGA
rfam:Macaca mulatta chromosome 7, whole genome shotgun sequence.